AUCGCUUCUCGGCCUUUUGGCUAAGAUCAAGUGUACGUCUAUAACUUUAAUUCUAUACUAGAUCCUGAAGCUAGGCGCCUACAAUGCAGAGGCGAGACAAGAAUUCUUAUCAUUCAAACAGAAGUAUGUUAUAGAAUUCGUUCAAA
rnacentral:snRNA from 1 species